UACGAGAGGCCCAAACGUUAUUCGGAAUUACUGGGCUUAAAGAGUUCGUAGGCGGCAUUGCAAGUAGGGUGUGAAAGCCCUCGGCUCAACCGAGGAAUUGCGCUCUAAACUGCAGUGCUCGAGGAAGCUAGAGGUGAGCAGAACAGAUGGUGGAGCGGUGAAAUGCGUUGAUAUCAUCUGGAAUACCGGAGGCGAAGGCGGCUCACUGGGGCUUUUCUGACGCUGAGGAACGAAAGCCAGGGGAGCGAACGGG
rnacentral:rRNA from 1 species